rnacentral:rRNA from 1 species
GACGAACGCUGGCGGCGUGCUUAACACAUGCAAGUCGAACGGAAAGGCCCUGCUUUUGUGGGGUGCUCGAGUGGCGAACGGGGGAGUAACACGUGAGUAACAUGCACUUGACUUUGGGGUAACUUCAGGAAACUGGGGCUAAUACCGGAUAGGAGCUCCUGCUGCAUGGGGGGGGUUGGAAAGUUUCGGCGGUUGGGGCUGGACUCGCGGCUUAUCAGCUUGUUGGUGGGGUAGGGGCUGACCAAGGCUUUGACGGGUAGCCGGCCUGAGAGGGUGACCGGCCACCUUGGGCCUGCGAUACGGCCCAGACUCCUACGUUCGGCAGCAGUGGGGAAUAUUGCGCAAUGGGCGGACGCCUGAUGCAGCAACGCCGCGUGCGGGAUGACGGCCUUCGGGUUGUAAACCGCUUUCGCCUGUGACGAAGCGUGAGUGACGGUAAUGGGUAAAGAAGCACCGGCUAACUACGUG